UCAGAGAGCAGAGCGGAUACAGGGUCAGAGUGCAGAGCGGGCACAGGGUCAGAACUCAGGACUCAAUGUAACCACUUCACUUCUAGAAGCAGAGAGACCCGCAACUUUAAACACAUGGGUAAUCUCACCAAAGCUUCUGGCUGAUGCUGCAAAUGUCUCCAUAAGGCCACUGGCAAAAAGAAAGGAAGCCUUUAACUUUUGCUCUGAAAUAACCAGAUGUGAAGUUUGUUUUCACUUCUCUCACUACAUAUCCACUGCUUAAAGGAGCAACAUUUUACAAAUACUGGAGGUUGAAGAGUGAGGAGCAGCGUUUAUAGCAAUUCCACAACUCAAGUUCUCUUAAAGGUUUUUAACUAUCAGAGACAACAACAAGAAAAAUCUGUAUUAUGAUUUUAAUGCUAUUAAUAUAAAGCAAUUUAAAACCUUCACCUGGCAUUGGAUGGAGAAAAUGACAGAGCCCCACAUAGGAGCACCAGAC